rnacentral:tmRNA from 1 species
GGGGGCGAUCUGGAUUCGACGUGGAUUGCAAAACCCUAGGUGCAUGUCGAGUAUAUAGCUAUUCUCGUAAAAAAUGCUAUAAAUUAUAGUUGCAAACGAAGACAACUACGCACUAGCAGCUUAAUCCUGCUGGUCAUCAUUCAGAAACGUGCUUGUGCAUUUCAGUUUGGUGUCGCUUAACACAAGAUAGCUUUUAUUCUCGCCAUUAGAAUAUCUGCGAAACUUAAUUGGAUAGUGAGAAUAAAUGUCUGCUCGUUUACUUUAUUUUCAUGAAUUUUGAUAACGAAGCUAAACAUGUAGUACCGAAGGCAGAGGAUUUGCGGACGCGGGUUCGAUCCCCGCCGCCUCCACCA